ensembl:lncRNA
AUUAAAUCCACCAUAUGCCAUACAAAAAUCCGCUACAUAAUCCUCUAUACCCCAGUCACCUUGACGAAGGCAGAGGAGGCGAUGAACUGCUGGGUUCAUUGUGCGGGUUGUGUAUUCUGUAAUGAUCAGUCCACUGAAGGCAAGUUUAAGAACCCAAGUGCAGUUUAUUGUAGGGAUGGCUGAAGUGAAACUGGCAUUUCGACACGGUGUCGAGAUCCCGAAGCGCAGAUGUUUCGAAACACAGCUCCGAAGUGUGAUUCUAAACACCCAUGUCACGUGACUAAGGCCAUUCAAAGCAAAAAAAGUUUAUAUGAAGAGUUUGGUUCCAAAACGCGAUAAACGCCAAUUUUGAAAAAAACGAGUUACCGCCAAAACAAGCUCCCCAUUGACUCUCUAUUCAAAGUUCGAUAAUCAGUUUUUAACAAAACGCGAUAUCCGCCGUGUUUCGCUGCCCUGUUUCUUCCCUUUUUUCUCAAACAGAGACAAACGCCAGUCCUGUUUUUCCGCAAAGCCCUACAGUUCCAUUCGACCAGUCACCGCGCACCAUUCCAUGACGCAAACUGUCAUGGCGGCACCCUGUCAGUAGACGCCGGUAAACACUCGCCUCAGACUUUUAAGUUUUUAUAUAGGCUACUAAAAUGAAUAACUUUGAUGGUAUUGAGGAGCCAGUGGUCGUGUCGUCUGUGGGAAAGAAGCGGUGGCAAAAUACCGGCGAUUGCUUGUUCUCACAGUGAAUCAAAAAACUUUUGUCAUGCCGACAAACUGACAGCUGACGAUCUUGUAAAAAACUUCGACACUCUCUACUGUUAUUUAUUGUUAUGUCUUUGCUCAAUUUCAUACAGAAAGUGAGUUUUUGUUGAUGAAAUGGAUUUGUAGC